CGGGGUCCCUGGCCCCUGGGGGACCCCUGAAUCGGAACCGCUCAUCCCCCUUGUGCCGCCCUGGCUAUAAAUACCCGCGGGGACACCGCCUGGCUGUCACCCACCCCUGUCCCGUGCCCCCCCGGGAGGUCACAGGGGUGCCUUCAUCUCCCCGGGGACACCCGCGGGUGGCCACGCUCUCCCCUUCCGCCUGCCCCCCCCCCCCCGCCCCGCUCCCCACUGUGCCCCGAAGUCAGGGGGGCGCCCGCAGCCGCGUGGGGGGCGGGAGCGGUGCCGGGGGUGCCGGUACUCACUUUGCCCUUCAAAUUUGCGGAUGAUGGUGUCCAGGGUGUAAUUUCACUAAGCCUCCUAAUUUCAGCAGAAAGCGUGGGUGCAGGAGCCAGAAGGCAGCAAAACCUCUCCAGAUGUUGUCACAGCGGGGAAGGGAAUUCAUCCUCGCUUUAAAGAAAGCAGUUUUCAGGAGACUUUUAGGAUCUUAAUGAUCUUGGAGACCUCUUUUCUCCCACUAACGGGGCAGAAAGGAGCCAGGGGGUCAAAAUUACCGGUGUCGAGCUGAGCUGGAUGGAGCACACCUGCACCAGUCUGCUUUCCCAGACUGAAAAUACACUUGGCUUCAAACCCAGCUCUCACCGUGCCAGGUCUCUG